UGCUUUGGCUUUGGCUUAAUGGCACCAUCUGGUGGACCACAACUAGAAUUGCUUUGGCUUGGGGGAAAUGGCACCAUCUGGUGGACCACAACUAGAAUUGCUUUGGCUUGGGGGAAAUGGCACCAUCUGGUGGACCACAACUAGAAUUGCUUUGGCUUGGGGGAAAUGGCACCAUCUGGUGGACCACAACUAGAAUUGCUUUGGCUUGGGGGAAAUGGCACCAUCUGGUGGACCACAACUAGAAUUGCUUUGGCUUGGGGGAAAUGGCACCAUCUCGUGGACCACAACUAGAAUUGCUUUGGCCUGCCACACUUUCAGCACAAAUGCAGAAGCUUUCCUGACUUGGGGAAAAUUGACAACUGUAGUGAACGGGUUUCAGUGAAACGGCAGAUAAGUUUUUGGAGAGAUACAGUUGGAGAAAGUAGUAGUGGAGACAGCUGCAGCAUUAAUGAAGACUUUCUGUGUAUAGAGGCCAAGUGAAGCUGAAGCGGUUCCUGGUGGCUGCACAACAUAACGUGUCAGCCUGUUUUCAGUUGUGCAAAAUGUUUAUAUAUGAUAUUUUUGUCUUUAUUUGUCCUUUAAAAAAAAAAAAGAGCAAUCUGGAGCAACAUGUUAAAAUCACUCAUCCUUGGAUUCGAACCCCGGUCUCCCGGGUGACUGACGGCCACUCUACCAACUGAGCUAUGCCGCUACUCAUGUUCACCUAUGCCCAGAUAGAGCUUUUAAAUUACAUCAUCUGGCUCGCGAUCAAAAAAAAGAAAAGAAAGCACGAAAUAUGCUUUAAAAACAACGAAAAACGUUGGUCUGAGUCUGAGAAUUGUAUGAGCGCUUGUGGAAUUCUCUUCAUUUGUUCUGUCUGCAGUGAAAGCACCUUUGAGGGGGUCCUUCAAAUGAAGGAGACAUUUUGUGAAAUACAUCAGCUGUCAUAAAAGUCAUUUCCUGUGGAAUUCAGGUCUGAAAUUUUGUGUGCCCGUUCAGAACAGUCCACUGAAGCACCGUAUCAAUUUUCAAAGCUCUAGCACCGUGGGAAGCCUCUUUUUUAGCACUGAGGCCUACUCUGAGUUAUGAAGCCUGAGGCCUUCAAAAGUGUGAAAAAUCCUUCCAGCCGGGUCAUUUUUGGGUCUAGAGACACCAAAUCGCACACGCGGCGAGUACACCGCCCCGUGAUCUUCCCUAUUUAUUUUCAGAAAGCUGGCUCGAAAGGAGACCGGGCGGCGGCGCGUUUCUCCCUGCAGAGUUCACCCUUUCAUGUUUCCAAACGGCCUAAAAAGGUCCAAAUCUCACACGUUCCUUCACCGAUUUGGACCAAACUUCACAGGACAGAUGUAGAGGCUACCGUGAAGGCUCACGCCGAUUUUCAGACCUCCAGGGGCCACGGAGAAGGAAUGAGGGGCAAAAAGACACGUUUUGUCAUAGUUGUCCCUCUUUUGCUCUCAUUUGUCUUGUGUGACCCCAGAGAGCUGAAACCUGGGAUCUGGCACCUCUGAAAAAUGUAAAAUCAAAAUCCAGUGGAAGUUUUUUGAUAGCACCUCCCAAACAGGAAGUACACCGGGAAGGAGCUAGAGACUCGUGCUUCGGACCGACGGUUCACCGAGGCGACCUGAACCUCCCCUGAAAGUUUCAGCUCGUUUGAUGCAAAAAUGACCGAUUUACGGGGCUUCUUUGUCUAAAAAUGACAAACUUUGACCCUGCGCCACGGGUCACAGGAAGGUCACAGAGACACCGAUCCACCGCAGUUCAGCUCCAAAUAUAGGCUAGUAUAACAUACUGCAAGAUCAGCCCCGGGUUCCCGGUGGAAAAAUCUGACCCGGUGUCCCUGUGGCUGAAAAUCAGGUCCUGUCACGCUCUUACACCCCGAGACCCUUUUGCCGGUGGAACUCGAGUGUCAUUUUUUGUCCGAAUGGGAUGAAAUUUUUACCACGAGUACUAGGGCCCCCAGUGAGCGUGCAUGUAGAAUAUCAGCCUCCUGGCUCAACAGGGGGCCAGGCGGUAGCAUGUUGAAGUUUGGAAGUGGGCCCUUUAAAGCCCGACAUGUUUAAUUGGCCCGUAUCUCGGCUCCCUGAGGUCACACGAGCAUGAUUCACACAUCCACGCAUUCCUCUCGUCCAGACGCGUCCGUAGACAUGUGAACCAUCCUCCUGUGACCUUCCUGUCCAAAGUUAUGCAGACAUAAAGACCAGAAAUCAGACUCCAACACCUUUUUGAGCAAAUGAAAGGUUUUUUAUUCACUUCAGCAACUUCUCAGUGGAAAGUGCCGUCGGACCCGAUGCAGGCAGGAAGAUAGAGCUCCAAGAGACACACAGAAAAAAUUUCAGGUCUCUACCUGCCAGCAUUCCAGAGUUAUGAACUUAAAUUACAGCUGCUGUCAUUGCACUUACAGUAUGGCACACACACACACAUUUUAAGUCCAUAACACACGCUUUGGGGAAAAUAGUGCAAAAUAGAGGAUGACAAGUAAAAUGACUUGACUUUGCACAUGACUGUUAUUAUUAUAAAAUUUAAAAAAAAAAAAAAAUUCUGUCAAAAGCAAGAUUCGAUCCGGUGUCCACCACAACACCAACGCAGCGCCUUAGACCGCUCGGCCAUCCCAGCGGAUGGUAAAUGACUGUAAGCGGUGUGUAUUUAAGGAGACGCAAUCUACAGGGACAGGAAACAGCGGUGUCGCUCAAGCAGCUGGACACCAAAGAAGUGCUUUUAAUAGAAACGGGUGUACACUGUAUUCACGGAGACAGCUUCAGCACAACACGGGCACGUUUGCACUCGGCUGUGACGCUGUUUAAUCCCAGAAACGUCCGUUAGUCUACCGUGUGGUGCACACUCCGGACCAGUAGGCGGCGGUAAUGCACCGGAUGCCAACCGCCGUGAAAGGAGAAGAAGAAGAAUUUUGAACGACGCAGCCGUUUGAACCAAGCAGCCGGAGCCGUUUGAACAACGGAGCGGGCACAGAGAUGGAGAGACGGCCUCAUGGUGGACUUCAGACCGUUUCUUCCCAAAAAGAGCCAGCAUCGGAGCCUGGAGCUGACUGUUUCCUCUCCACUCUUCUGCUGGACGCCGUACAGAUGCGUGCAACCUGCCUGGCGCCACCUACAGAGCCAGGACCUGACUUCCUCACCUUCACUGCUCCACUCUUCAUGCUGCCUCAGGAAGAACCUGCCUGGCUCUUCCUGCUGGACGCCGGACGCCGGAGAGAUGCGUGGAACCGGAGAGAUGCGUGGAACCUCCCUGUAGCCACCUACAGAGCCUGGAGCUGACUUUUCCUCAUCUUCUGCUCUCCACUCUUCCUGCCGGACGCCGUACUGAUGCGUGGAACGUGCCUGGCGCCGCCCACAGAGCCCGGAGCUGACUUUUCCUCGUCUUCUUCUCUCCACUCCUCCUGCCGGACGCCGUACUGAUGCGUGGAACGUGCCUGGCGCCGCCCACAGAGCCCGGAGCUGACUUUUCAUCGUCUUCAUCUCUCCACUCUUCCUGCAGGACGUCGUACUGAUGCGUGGCACCUGCCUGGAGCCGCCAAGAGAGCCUGGAGCUGACUUUCUCCUCAUCUUCAUCUGCGUGGAACCUCCCAGGAGCCCGAAAAGUGGAGAAAACGACCAACAGGAAGUGUGGGUCUCCAAAACCGGAAGUGACGUCAUCGCACCGUUGGUAUGAGAGGUGGCCCUGGUGGUGGUGAUGGAGCACAGCAGUUUUAAUAGAGAUCAGAGCUGUUUUGACCGAAUUUCGCAAUAUCUUGUCAGGGUUGCGCAAUUUCGGUCGGUGUUGCGCAAUAGAAAACCUAAAUGACCCGGCGGGUCAAGACACAAAUCAUCUAUAUACCUAACCCUAACCCUAACCCAAAUCGGAUGCCCUAACCCUAACCAGGAGACCCUAACCCAAAUUUGGAAGUG